UUUUYAUAAGAAUUAUUAUAAAUAUCGCCUGCUCAAUGAUUUAUUUUAAAUAGCCGCGGAAAUUUAACCGUGCUAAGGUAGCAUAAUCAUUAGCCUUUUAAUUAAAGGCCAGUAUGAACGGCGGAACAUUUCAAUUUCUUUAUUAACUUAUUAUUUUUUAACUUAAAUUAAGAAUAAAAAUGUUCUUAUAUAUUAAAUAGACGACAAGACCCUUUUGAACUUUACCGUUGUUUAGCUGGGGCAGCUAAAAAAAAAUAAUCUUUUAUAUUUUACUUAAAUAAAUGACCCAAUAAAAUCGAUUAUAUGAACAAGUUACCACAGGGAUAACAGCGUAAUAUCUUUUUAAAGCUCUUAUUAAAAAAGAAGAUUGCGACCUCGAUGUUGAAUUAACAUUACUUAUUAAUGCAGUAAUUAUAAAAGUAGGUCUGUUCGACCUUUAAAAUGUUACAU
rnacentral:rRNA from 1 species